AACGAACGCUGGCGGCGUGCCUAACACAUGCAAGUCGAGCGAGAAAGCUCCUUCGGGAGUGAGUAAAGCGGCGCACGGGUGAGUAACACGUAGGUAACCUACCCUCGAGCCUGGGAUAACCUACCGAAAGGUGGGCUAAUACCGGAUAUGACCACGGGAGCCACGGCUCCUGCGGUGAAAGAUGGCCUAAGCUUGCAAGCUAUCACUUGAGGAUGGGCCUGCGCACCAUAGCUAGUUGGCGGGGUAAUGGCCCACCAAGGCUAUGAUGGUUAGCUGGUCUGAGAGGAUGGCCAGCCACACUGGGACUGAAACACGGCCCAGACUCCUACGGGAGGCAGCAGUGGGGGAUAUUGCGCAAUGGGCGAAAGCCUGAUCCAGCGACGCCGCGUGGGUGAAGAAGGCCUGCGGGUUGUAAAGCCCUUUCAGUGGGGAAGAAAAGCCUCGAGCUAACACCUCGGGGUCUUGACGUAACCCAUAGAAGAAGCACCGGCUAACUCUGUGCC
rnacentral:rRNA from 1 species